AUUUGAUGUUGAGGACAGAUGGUACAUAAUUUCUUGAAUCUCUCCCAAUAUUCGUAGAAAGAUUCCUCGGGUCUCUGUUUAAUACCACAGAUUUCUUUUCAUAGAUU